rnacentral:rRNA from 1 species
GCAGUGAGGAAUAUUGGUCAAUGGGCGCAAGCCUGAACCAGCCAUGCCGCGUGCAGGAUGACGGUCCUAUGGAUUGUAAACUGCUUUUAUACGGGAAGAAACACCGGUUCGUGAACCGGCUUGACGGUACCGUAAGAAUAAGGAUCGGCUAACUCCGUGCCAGCAGCCGCGGUAAUACGGAGGAUCCAAGCGUUAUCCGGAAUCAUUGGGUUUAAAGGGUCCGUAGGCGGGCCAGUAAGUCAGUGGUGAAAUCUCCCGGCUCAACCGGGAAAUUGCCAUUGAUACUGCUGGUCUUGAAUUACCAGGAAGUAACUAGAAUAUGUAGUGUAGCGGUGAAAUGCUUAGAGAUUACAUGGAAUACCAAUUGCGAAGGCAGGUUACUACUGGUGGAUUGACGCUGAUGGACGAAAGCGUGGGUAGCGAACAGGAUUAGA